rnacentral:lncRNA from 1 species
GGCAAGACGGGAAUGGAAAGGCAGAAACCCCAAGUGGAGCCUGCUUCUGUAAUUAGUGCUGAUUUACCACCUGAUAACAGCUAAGCACCCGAGGCAGGGGCAGAGCUGUGCACCCGCCUCCCUCUCCUGUCUCGGUAUCAGGCUGGGUGAUUCUUCUCUCGGGCCCCUCCUGAGACCAGACUGGAGGCAGAGUUCUCCUCCCUGCCUUCUAGAAUGUCUCCUGACAGCCCAUGGCCUUCCCCUUUGGGGAGGUGCUGGGCUUUGGAGAGAGCACUGUGAAUUCACCACCAGAAAAAGACCAAAAACUGAAAAAUACUCGUUACACCUCUUUAAUAAAUCGUUCUAGUUGUCCUCCAGCAGAGGGCACCAGAGGAGAGCCAGCCAAGUCUGAGAAAGGUUGCCCAAGGUCAAAUCGAACAAACCAACAGGGCAGUCUCACCCCCCCAAGGCUUUUCCCUACCAGCUCAGCCCCUCCCAACUUGCCCCUUCAGGACCGCCGACCUGCUUCUCACAUCGGACAGAGCAGGAAACAGACUUUGGGGCAUUUUCCUGGUUUAGAAAACAAUCUUCUAAUUUUGGUACUUGAAGGGAAUGCUGGGGUACACCACCCAGAGCCCCCUCCAGGAGUAAGGUACUCAUUCCCCCAGCUGCUGGGAGAGUCCGCUGCUCCUCGCUCACAGCUGAGACUCUGGAAAUUGACCUUAACUGAAGGGAGUUGCUUCGGGGCCACACUUAGUGGCAGCUUGCAUCCAACCUCUGGACAAUAUGGAGGUAAAAGGCUCGGCGCCCUUGCCUCAAUUUAGGACGAUGCUGAAAGGACAUCCCAGCUCCAGAGCUCCCUGUAGGAUCACCUGAGGCUCUGCCUUGCCAGACAACACCUGUCCCCUGCUCCCAUGAUCUGUCCAGCCUCCCUGCCUGGCUUCCAGGACAAGAACUAGGGUCGAGUCAUAACAGAACCCAGUGCGGGGCGUGCUGGCUCUGCUAGAGGAAGAGACAGACUAUUUCAAGAUGAGGACCUGGCCACCGCCAGGAGGCCAGUCAGGGGACUGCAGCCUGAGGGUGCCGGACCAAGGAGAAGAGAACAGGGAGCACUCACUCAUGAUAUGGGAUUUCACACCCAGCAAGGAUCCCAGAAGGAGGUCCUAACCAGCUGGUAGGGUGACAUAGAAGCCUGUAAAAAGUGAUGGCCCACAUUAAAUGCAGUAACAAUGCAGGAACCAGGAUCAAGAGGCUCGGUGAAGUGAGCACGCUGGCCUGUAUAUACUAUGUAAAGCCAGAAACCCACUAGAUGACCACAGGCUGUGGACCAGCCCAGAGGACAUGCCGUUUACCAAAGCAAGGAAGACUGUGAUGCUGAGAGGGUCACCAAAUCUUUGAGAAGCUAAGUGAUGGCUCCGUAGGGCAGGGCCGAUGGUAAGAAACGGUGUUACAGAGCUGGGCUCCCUGGCAACAAUGCGAAUGCGAGGAUCCAGAAAUAAUAGAGGCCAGGUGGCAGCACUUACCUGUUGAGAAGCUGGGUGGGCACAACUGUUACAAUGAGUGGCAGAAGUGGGGAGGCAGCCAGGGUCCCUUGACCUGUAGAGAGCUAAGGAGAUGGUCAGUGAAACAUGGUAUUCUGAGGAGAAAAACAGGUGGGCGGUUGUGUCAGCGGUCCGUAAGACCCCCCUCAGGUUCAAUGAUUCAUUAGGACUCACGGAACUCAGAAGAGCUAUCAUACUCACAGUCACAAAUUAUUACAGCAAAAGGAUAAGGCUUAAAAUCAGCAAAGGCGAAAGUCACAGAGGACAGAGUGCAGGAGAGACC